rnacentral:sRNA from 1 species
CCAAGGUUGAUGCACUGAUGGAUGAGAUUAACUUCAUGAAGAUGUUCUUUGAUGCGGAGCUGUCGCAGAUGCAGACGCAUGUCUCUGACACAUCAGUGGUCCUCUCCAUGGACAACAACCGCAACCUGGACCUGGAUAGCAUCAUCGCUGAGGUCAAGGCCCAGUAUGAGGAGAUCGCCAACCGCAGCCGGACGGAAGCCGAGUCCUGGUAUCAGACCAAGUAUGAGGAGCUGCAGCAGACAGCUGGCCGGCAUGGCGAUGACCUCCGCAACACCAAGCAUGAGAUCUCUGAGAUGAACCGGAUGAUCCAGAGGCUGAGAGCCGAGAUUGACAAUGUCAAGAAACAGGUAGGGUGAGAUUGAAAGAGGGCAAGGAAGGGGCCUGAGCUCUAAAAGGAACACCUAUUUUGUUUUAUUUUGUUUUACUUUUGCUAAACACAUGCAGCUAGAUCCAGUACCAGUGUUUCAGUGUCCCGCCACCCACGAUGUACUGGUUUCUCUCUGGGAUUCAUGAUAGUUUGGUUUGCCUGAUCCAGAAUCUCAGAAGGAGACACCUCAGGUCCCAAGCAACCCCACUCUCCUCCUUUCUAUCUGUAGUGCGCCAAUCUGCAGAACGCCAUUGCGGAUGCCGAGCAGCGUGGGGAGCUGGCCCUCAAGGAUGCCAGGAACAAGUUGGCCGAGCUGGAGGAGGCCCUGCAGAAGGCCAAGCAGGACAUGGCCCGGCUGCUGCGUGAGUACCAGGAGCUCAUGAACACCAAGCUGGCC